GGAGGGAAGCUGUGAGAAGCCAUCUUUGUCACCUUUCCCCUUAAUUCCAAGCUGCUACAUCCCCUACUGCUCCUGACCCCUUGGCUUGACAUUGGAGCUGGCCCUUAAGCCCGCCCCACCUCAGCAGACUCAUCUGGACUCCUGGCUGACCCGUUUGUUGCCACUGGCUCUGCCCUGCUCUUUUGUAUGGAGAGCAUGCCUUUGAAAGCAAAGCCACUAGCUCUGCUCUCCUUGUAGUCACACUCAGCUCCUGCCCCUUCUGCUUCCUGACAGCUUAGCUGUGUUCACUUGUAAGCUUGUUGUUGCAUGGGGCUUUUUAAAACUAUAAUUAUUUUUUAUUUGAUAAAUGUUGUAUAUGCUUUCAAAAUGGAAAAAAAAAGUGUUGUUUUUGUGUUUCGCCAACAACAUAUGGAGAUGUAAGCAGCAAUCUUAUGAAUUUUAUUAAAUCUUUACAUAUCUGAUAAGAAAAAGUGCCAAAAUGACUAAACAGGUUUGGUGAGAUAAUCCUGUUACCACCUUCUUUUGUAUGAUGCAGGAUUAUGAAUGACUUUCCACCACCUUUAGUAUUUACUUUCCAUGCUGUAGAAGGUAGUAUGACAUAGACGUGCAUGACAUCAUUGCUAUUGAUCUAAAAGAAUGUACUUGCAACAAAAAUAACAAAUCAACCACCUGAAGACAACAGAAUUAUAACCAUGUUCUCUUAACUGUGCCUGUAGAAAAGCUCAUUUCAGGAUGACACCCCUACAAAUGAUGAAAGAAAGCUAGAAGGUAAAAUUUAACAACCAGUUGGUAGCUUUUCAUAAUUUUAAAACAGAAUCUGAAGAUGUAGUACAGUCCUACUUUUUAAAGUAAUUAUCUUGGGUUAAAUUCAGGGAGCAUGUUUAAUCUGUGCUGGUAAGAGCAAUAUAUUUGUCUCGUAAGGAUGUUUCUGGAUCCAAGUGCAAAUUUAAAUUUACAUCAAGUUCAGAUGACCUCGUCUUGCAGACCAGUUUAAUGACUAAUUUAGUAGCCCUUAGUAACAUUUAAUAGCCUAAGAUUUACUACUACUUCUAAUUAAUCAGUAUAAUUUCUUCUUUAAUUGUUGUCAAUAGCAUUAUUGUUUUUCUUCAGAUUUAAGAGGCUUCAGAUCUGAUUAUCCUGUCAUUGGGUGUACAUAUGGCAACUCUUAUAAAACACUGCUUGCAAGAAAGGACCUGCUGUUGCAAUGGAAUCAUCUACGAUCAUUUUAUAUGGAUUUCUCAAAGAGACUGAGGCAUUUGUGCACACUGUUGAGAUUCCCCUUUCAGAAAUGCUUUCCUGGAGAAUUUUUUCACAGAAUCACAGAAUCACGGAAUGACCCGGGUUGGAAGGGACCUCAAGGAUCACAAAGCUCCAACCCCCCUGCCUGGCAGGGCCACCAAACUUCCACCUUCCCAGGGACUGAGUGGCAUCUAAAUACUUUGGUCUUGCAGAAGUGUCCACUGGAGCAAGUUAAGCACCCCAGCUAAGGGCAAGCACACAGAACUGGAAAAAUACCUUCGAUCAACCCCAACUUCUCUCUCAAGAUGAACUAUAUGCAGGAGUUUUCAGAAGAGAACUGUCUUCUCAGACCAAGACCCAAACCAACCACCUUUGAAGUGGGAGAGCUGGCUUUCACUUUUAGAGCUUCUCAUGGCACAGACCUGUAAGCUAACAGCCCUGAUCUUGGACACAGCUCCAGGCAGACACCCCUUGGGAAUACCCUCAUUCUCUUAGGAAAUCAAAUCACAGAAGUAGUUUAAAGCCAUUUCUCUGUGACCUGUCACCUGCAAUGGAUCUCCCCAGAGCCUUCUCCAGGCUAAAUGAGCCCAGCUGCAGCAUCCUCAAUAAAGCUUAGCUCUGCAGUCACAUCACAACUUCAACUCAUGUUUUACAACUUUUGUUCUCCCAGAGUCCACAGUAAAGGACCAAAAUAAAAUAAAUAAAUACUUA